CAGAUGCUAGUUUAAAUCAAAAUAGUUGUUUUGGGGACAACAGACGCAAAGUUAGCCUUGCGCACCUGA
rnacentral:tRNA from 2 species